GAGCCAUUAGCUCAGCUGGUAGAGCAUCUGACUUUUAAUCAGAGCGUCAGAGGUUCGAAUCCUCUAUGGCUCA
rnacentral:tRNA from 1 species